rnacentral:rRNA from 1 species
UAGGGAAUCUUCGGCAAUGGACGUAAGUCUGACCGAGCAACGCCGCGUGAGUGAAGAAGGUUUUCGGAUCGUAAAACUCUGUUGGUAGAGAAGAACGUUGGUGAGAGUGGAAAGCUCAUCAAGUGACGGUAACUACCCAGAAAGGGACGGCUAACUACGUGCCAC